ensembl:lncRNA
AAUGCAGCUGGCGAGAUGAUGAAUGGUGUAGCAGGGAUGUUCUCUUCCCCCAAGGGAACUGGAACAGGUAGUCUCCAAGCUGGCCAGAUCUCUGGAAAAGGAAGUCUAAAUGGACAAGGAGCUGUGUCAUCCCCUGAAGGAAGCGGAAAGAGAGGUUCCUUACUAGGACAGUCUAUUAAUGCAGCUGGCGAGAUGAUGAAUGGUGUAGCAGGGAUGUUCUCUUCCCCCAAGGGAACUGGAACAGGUAGUCUCCAAGCUGGCCAGAUCUCUGGAAAAGGAAGUCUAAAUGGACAAGGAGCUGUGUCUUCCCCUGAAGGAAGCGGAAAGAGAGGUUCCUUACUAGGACAGUCUAUUAAUGCAGCUGGCGAGAUGAUGAAUGGUGUAGCAGGGAUGUUCUCUUCCCCCAAGGGAACUGGAACAGGUAGUCUCCAAGCUGGCCAGAUCUCUGGAAAAGGAAGUCUAAAUGGACAAGGAGCUGUGUCUUCCCCUGAAGGAAGCGGAAAGAGAGGUUCCUUACUAGGACAGUCUAUUAAUGCAGCUGGCGAGAUGAUGAAUGGUGUAGCAGGGAUGUUCUCUUCCCCCAAGGGAACUGGAACAGGUAGUCUCCAAGCUGGCCAGAUCUCUGGAAAAGGAAGUCUAAAUGGACAAGGAGCUGUGUCAUCCCCUGAAGGAAGCGGAAAGAGAGGUUCCUUACUAGGACAGUCUAUUAAUGCAGCUGGCGAGAUGAUGAAUGGUGUAGCAGGGAUGUUCUCUUCUGCAACAGGGGCAGGAAAGGGAAAUGGUUUGUUCUCUCAAUCCAGCUCUAGCUCAGGGACAAAUACGGGCAAAAUCUCAGGCAGCGUAUCUUCCAUGAGGGGCAGUCGACAAGGAAAGGCCUCAAGAGUCAGUCUCCCCAGUUUCUCACGUCGGAAGCUUCUUAGUUUGGAUCUAAAUCUCCAAAAAGGAGAAGCAGGCAUUUUGCCUGGUGCUUCCCCGAAUUCACCUGGGCUUCCUAAUGACCUUCUGGGCCCUGCAUCUUCUUCACCUGCGAGCGGCCAAGAAACUGCAAACCUCCCUCCUUCCGUCAUCGUCCGUGUCCAGAAGGGAACCAAUAACCAAGCUCUCGAGCAGCUCAAAUCAGAAGGCGGCAAGAUCCAAUUCAUCCCACUGGGACCUCCAGAAUCCUCCGGCGAUGCUCUCCUGUAACGAUAUGCAGUAAGUGCAGACUACACCGAACAGGGGGAUUUUGGGAAUGUUAGUUUCUUUCUGGUAAGGGAGAAUUGGAGAAGUAGAGUUGGGUAGGACUGAAAUAUCAGCCCUUCUGUGUGGAACGGUGGAGCUGGGGUGAGCCCUGAAAUUGAAUAAAAUACAGCUUUGGCUAACGUAACCACCAAACCCAGCACUGCUUUGAGUUCAACCUAUGCACAGCACUGGUCGAAAUAGUUUAUUCAAAACAUAGGUAUUUACUAGGCAUGAGCGAUUCAUGAAAAAAAUGGUUCUAAACUCGCUUCUAAAGUAGGGGACCUGGUGCUUCGUUUCUAAAGUCACUUCUGAAUUUUGAAGCAAAAAAAUUCAAAACUUUCUGAAACUUCCGAAACUUCGUGUAUACUUCGUUAAUGGCAGAUGCGCAUGCGCAUAAAGGAAAACAUUAUAGUCAAUGGGGAAAAUUGAGGGGCCUCUCUCUCCCUCAUUUUUCAGGCUAUUGUAAUGAAAUUUGUUACAGUGGUAGAACAUAUUUACCACUGUUAGCUCACCAAAUUUCAGAACGUUUUCCUUAUCCUCUGAUUUUUGGUGAAUUUUCAUAGCAUUUAUAAUAAACCAUUUCUUAAUAAUAGAAGACACCUGUUCCUGGUUUGAAAGUCUUAUUUCCUGUUUCAUUGGAUUGUCUUUACUUUGAAAGUCAUUGUUCUACUUCAGAAACUUUGUUUUUGUGGCUGAAACUUUGUUAAAUUGAUGGACAGUGUCCCAGGAAAUUAUAAUGUGCUAUCAUAUAAGUUUGAAAAAUAAAUAAAUAAAUAAAUAGCACCAUUAUUUAUUUAUUAAUUUGAUUUAAUUUAUAUACCACUCUUCUUCCCCAGGGGGACCCAUGUCUCUUGCACAAAGACAAAGUUUUGGCUGUGUAAAGUUUUGUCAUGUUUCUAUGACACAACCAAUUAGGAAAUGACAUUUAUCUCCCAGAAACAGAAAUCAUAGUACACCAUCAAAUCACUCCUGACAGAUGGCCAUCAGCCUCUGAAUAAGGAAAUCUGUUCCUGGCUUGAAACUGUUUCAUUGGGUUUUUGGGGCUGAGAGUGUGACAUGCCAGUGGGUUUCCAUGGCUGAGUGGGGAAUGAAGCCAGGAUCAUAGUCCAGCUCUCAAUAAAUAAUAAUAAUAAUAAUAAUAAUAAUAAUAAUAAUAAAAAUUUAUUUAUACCCCACCACCAUCUCCCCGUGGGGACUCGAGGUGGCUCACAAUGUUACAAAAGUAACAGCGCAAAUAAAUUAACAAUAUACACAGUUUAAAACACAAGAAGAUGAUAAAACAGAAGUUAAAACAAAGGUUUAUACAACAGUAAUAAUAUCAAACAACCACUACACUACACCAUGCUGUCCCAAAAAGGGGCCGCUGUUUCUUCCUAUGAGGCUUAAAACCUCAGUCUUUUGUUUUUUUAUGAAUGCUCCCAUGAGAAAAUGUAUUAAGGAUGUGGGUGAACUACAAUUCAAAAAGGUCUUGGGUCAACCCUCCCAAAACUCCCCCAGGAUUCACAGCUGGCCAUAUCGGGUCUGUGUGCCAAGCUUGGUCCAGAUCAAUCACUUUUCUUCUUAUCCCAGAUUAUAUGCAGUGGGGACAUAUAAUCCAGUUUAACUCAGAUAAUCUGGGAUCAGAUCCUGGGAUAUAAGGCAAUGUAGAUCUUCAAAACUCUAUCCCAGGAUCUGAUCCCAGAUUAUCUGCUUUGAACUGGAUUAUAUGUCCACACUGCCAGAUAAUCUAGAAUAAAAUAAUCUAGGAGUGGAUUUCUUCCGAUGGGGCUUAGCCUGCUUCCGACUCCCUCCUCUUGCAACCCGGUUUAAGCAACCAUUCCAGGAUGGGGAAAGGGAUUUCUCUCUUGCAACCUGAUUUAAGAGGCUCAUAGAAAGCAACCAUGGGGAAAGAGAAACAAGACUCCCGCCCUUCUGCGAUUGGCCAC